UACGCCUUUGUAUGGUGGCGGUAGUGGAAACACCCGCACGGUUACUACAACGACCGAGGACACCUAACCGAGGGCUUUUU
rnacentral:ncRNA from 1 species